UACAGAGGGGGCAAGCGUUGUUCGGAAUUACUGGGCGUAAAGGGCGCGUAGGCGGCCUGCUAAGUCGAACGUGAAAUCCCCGGGCUCAACCCGGGAACUGCGUCCGAUACUGGUUGGCUUGAAUCCGGGAGAGGGAUGUGGAAUUCCAGGUGUAGCGGUGAAAUGCGUAGAUAUCUGGAGGAACACCGGUGGCGAAGGCGGCAUCCUGGACCGGUAUUGACGCUGAGGCGCGAAAGCCAGGGGAGCAAAGCAGG
rnacentral:rRNA from 1 species